rnacentral:rRNA from 1 species
AGAGUUUGAUCCUGGCUCAGGACGAACGCUGGCGGCACGCCUAACACAUGCAAGUCGAACGAGAGAUGAGGAGCUUGCUCUUCAAGUCGAGUGGCGAACGGGUGAGUAACGCGUGAGGAACCUGCCUCAAAGAGGGGGACAACAGUUGGAAACGACUGCUAAUACCGCAUAAGCCCACGGCUCGGCAUCGAGCAGAGGGAAAAGGAGCAAUCCGCUUUGAGAUGGCCUCGCGUCCGAUUAGCUGGUUGGUGAGGUAACGGCCCACCAAGGCGACGAUCGGUAGCCGGACUGAGAGGUUGAACGGCCACAUUGGGACUGAGACACGGCCCAGACUCCUACGGGAGGCAGCAGUGGGGAAUAUUGCACAAUGGGGGAAACCCUGAUGCAGCGACGCCGCGUGGAGGAAGAAGGUCUUCGGAUUGUAAACUCCUGUUGUUGAGGAAGAUAAUGACGGUACUCAACAAGGAAGUGACGGCUAACUACGUGCCAGCAGCCGCGGUAAAACGUAGGUCACAAGCGUUGUCCGGAAUUACUGGGUGUAAAGGGAGCGCAGGCGGGAGGACAAGUUGGAAGUGAAAUCCAUGGGCUCAACCCAUGAACUGCUUUCAAAACUGUUUUUCUUGAGUAGUGCAGAGGUAGGCGGAAUUCCCGGUGUAGCGGUGGAAUGCGUAGAUAUCGGGAGGAACACCAGUGGCGAAGGCGGCCUACUGGGCACCAACUGACGCUGAGGCUCGAAAGUGUGGGUAGCAAACAGGAUUAGAUACCCUGGUAGUCCACACCGUAAACGAUGAUUACUAGGUGUUGGAGGAUUGACCCCUUCAGUGCCGCAGUUAACACAAUAAGUAAUCCACCUGGGGAGUACGACCGCAAGGUUGAAACUCAAAGGAAUUGACGGGGGCCCGCACAAGCAGUGGAGUAUGUGGUUUAAUUCGACGCAACGCGAAGAACCUUACCAAGUCUUGACAUCCCUUGACGAACAUAGAAAUAUGUUUUCUCUUCGGAGCAAGGAGACAGGUGGUGCAUGGUUGUCGUCAGCUCGUGUCGUGAGAUGUUGGGUUAAGUCCCGCAACGAGCGCAACCCUUAUGGUCAGUUACUACGCAAGAGGACUCUGGCCAGACUGCCGUUGACAAAACGGAGGAAGGUGGGGAUGACGUCAAAUCAUCAUGCCCUUUAUGACUUGGGCUACACACGUACUACAAUGGCGUUAAACAAAGAGAAGCAAGACCGCGAGGUGGAGCAAAACUCAGAAACAACGUCCCAGUUCGGACUGCAGGCUGCAACUCGCCUGCACGAAGUCGGAAUUGCUAGUAAUCGUGGAUCAGCAUGCCACGGUGAAUACGUUCCCGGGCCUUGUACACACCGCCCGUCA